UACAUAGGUCUCAAGCGUUGUUCGGAAUUACUGGGCGUAAAGGGCGCGUAGGCGGCCUGCUAAGUCGAACGUGAAAUCCCUGGGCUCAACCCAGGAACUGCGUCCGAUACUGGUUGGCUUGAAUCCGGGAGAGGGAUGUGGAGUUCCAGGUGUAGCGGUGAAAUGCGUAGAUAUCUGGAGGAACACCGGUGGCGAAGGCGACAUCCUGGACCGGUAUUGACGCUGAGGCGCGAAAGCCAGGGGAGCAAACGGG
rnacentral:rRNA from 1 species